rnacentral:misc_RNA from 1 species
CUAAUCUUAGAAUUUUGUUACUUAGCCUUAUCAUACAAUUUUCAAUACUGUUUAUUACAAAUGGAGUAUGUUCAACUUAGUUUCAUGUAACAUUACAUACUUUGUUUUUAAAGUGAACAUAUUUUCAUAAAUGUUUGUCAACUUAAAUUGAAAGGUCAAACUAAUCUUUGGCUAUAUUAAAUGUGAGGAUACACAAUUUGGACGGGAUGUAGUCUAGUGGUGCCUUCACUGCUUGGAUGGUUGGAGGACUUCAAAUUGAGAAAAUACACUUACCAUAUCUGACUGCUUUUAAGUUUUGGAGAUGUCAAAUACAAUUGUGCAACAUGUGACAAAGUUAAAUUAACCUAUUAUUGAUAUCAUCAGAGAGACAUUGACUCAUAAUUGUUCCCCGAAAUGGAGGUUUGUUUUUUGAGUGCAGUACAAGGUCCCCUUCAAGCAUUCUUGAGGCCAGGACUUUGGUUCCCAGGACUAAAUCUUCUCCAUACCUGUACAGAACAAUGGGUGUCGACUGAGCCUCCUGAUGUUCUCCUAGAUGAUUUAGUUCACAGUAUAGAAGCAUACAGUCAAUUAGAACAGAGAGAAUCCUGGUGCAAUAUUAUCCAGUUACAUAAAGUGGAUAGAGAGAAUAACAAAGUAACAAUUCUAGCUUACACCAGGGCAGAGUGGCUAGAUGUGGUGGAGAUUGACUUUAACACAGGAAAGGCUAGGUCGUUCUCUAGUGGUCUUUUCCCAACAUUCCUGCCUCUUGCGGUAUUGCUCAAUUGUGUUUUGUUCUUUGUGCCUUUCCUGGAUCAUGGUGUUAAUAAGAAAAGACUUGAUAAACUGAGAAGUCUAAUGACAUCAGCAGUUGGCGUAGAUACAGAGGAACAAUCCUUGUUAACCAAUGAACAUUAAUGACUACAGUGUACAUCUUUUUC